UACGGGGGGGGCAAGCGUUGUUCGGAAUUACUGGGCGUAAAGGGCUCGUAGGCGGCCAACUAAGUCAGACGUGAAAUCCCUCGGCUUAACCGGGGAACUGCGUCUGAUACUGGAUGGCUUGAGUUUGGGAGAGGGAUGCGGAAUUCCAGGUGUAGCGGUGAAAUGCGUAGAGAUCGUAAGGAAGACCAGUGGCGAAGGCGGGUCUCUGGACAGUUCCUGACACUGAGGCACGAAGGCCAGGGGAGCAAACGGG
rnacentral:rRNA from 1 species